rnacentral:sRNA from 1 species
AUCCGCGCUAACCCAAUAAAAAACGGCCCCGUCUUGCGACGAGGCCGUUCCCGAGA